AGACACUGAUGAAGCAGAUAGCCGAGAAGUGAUUCUUCCAGGACUAAAUCUUCUCUAUGAUGGUUCAGAGUUGCACCCUUUUGAUAUUUGUGCUUGCCUUCAGGCUCGUCAACCAGUUGCUCUUAUAGCAGAAGCUGCUGUUGCAUCUGCAAACCUUGCCCCGAAAUAGAAUAAUACUCACUGAGAUUCCAGUCCAAAUAUCGUAGGACAUAAUGUGAAAGGUCGGGUUCUUGUUUGUUUGUUUUUACAUUCUAGCCGACUGGAAAAUGCAAUCUGCGGCGAGCAUCAGAAUACACUGAUGUUGCUUAGUCGCAGUAAGGGUUAGGAAAUCUACAAAUUAUAUAUUUGGCUAACGAAUGAUGAAUGUAUCGUUAUACCAUUAUUGUGCUUCAGUUAAAAAGAUAGUACUGAGGAAAUUUUGGAGACAUUGUGUGUGUAAGUGUCAAGGAAGGCUGUGGUUUAUAGAGGAGUUUUGCGUUUGGGACUGUCUUGCACAGAUUUUAUCCCAAUUUGGUUCGGGCGACUCUCGAUGGCCCAGUUAUUACGUCGAGGUUGAUGAAAGUCUCUUUUUCCCAAUAACAAAGUAUAUUUGGGAUCAGUUUUUGUUCUUUUUCCAUACAAUCAAAAAAUAUGUUUGCUUUUUUUGGUUACGUAUACGUCACGCACCGAAAUCAAACUGUGGAAUCUUUUCAUAAUCAAAUCAAUUCAAGUCUAACCA